rnacentral:misc_RNA from 1 species
UACAGAGGUGGCAAGCGUUGUUCGGAAUUACUGGGCGUAAAGGGCGCGUAGGCGGCCGAGCAAGUCCCGCGUGAAAUCCCCCGGCUCAACUGGGGAACUGCACGGGAAACUGCCUGGCUUGAGUUCGGGAGAGGGAAGCGGAAUUCCGGGUGUAGCGGUGAAAUGCGCAGAUAUCCGGAGGAACACCAGCGGCGAAGGCGGCUUCCUGGACCGAUACUGACGCUGAGGCGCGAAAGCUAGGGGAGCAAACGGG